rnacentral:rRNA from 1 species
AUUGAACGCUGGCGGCAGGCCUAACACAUGCAAGUCGAGCGGAUGAAGGGAGCUUGCUCCUGGAUUCAGCGGCCGGACGGGUGAGUAAUGCCUAGGAAUCUGCCUGGUAGUGGGGAUAACGUCCGGAAACGGCGCUAAUACCGCAUACGUCCUGAGGAGAAGUGGGGAUCUUCGGACCUCACGCUAUCAGAUGAGCCUAGGUCGGAUUAGCUAGUUGGUGGGUAAAGGCCUACCAAGGCGACGAUCCGUAACUGGUCUGAGAGGAUGAUCAGUCACACUGGAACUGAGACACGGUCCAGACU